UACGGAGGGUGCAAGCGUUGUCCGGAAUCACUGGGCGUAAAGGGCGCGUAGGUGGCCUGGUAAGUCUGUGGUGAAAGCCCGGGGCUCAACCCCGGUCGGCCGUGCGAACUGUGGACUGGAGCUUGUCAGAGGCAGGCGGAAUUCCGGUGUAGCGGUGAAAUGCAUAGAUAUUGUCAAGAACACCAAUUGCGUAGGCAGCUUACUAAGUAUAACUGACGCUGAGGCACGGAAGUGCGGGAUCAAACAGG
rnacentral:rRNA from 1 species